AUCUGCAGGAUUGCAUUCACUUGC
rnacentral:siRNA from 1 species